ACCUAGCUGACUCAGUCCAUAGAGUGUAUGACUCUUGAUCACAGGGUCAUGAGUUCAAGCCCCAUGUUGGGUG
rnacentral:tRNA from 1 species